AUUGAACGCUGGCGGAAUGCUUUACACAUGCAAGUCGAACGGCAGCACGGACUUCGGUCUGGUGGCGAGUGGCGAACGGGUGAGUAAUAUAUCGGAACGUGCCCAGUCGUGGGGGAUAACGUAGCGAAAGUUACGCUAAUACCGCAUACGAUCUAUGGAUGAAAGCGGGGGAUCGCAAGACCUCGCGCGAUUGGAGCGGCCGAUAUCAGAUUAGGUAGUUGGUGGGGUAAAGGCUCACCAAGCCAACGAUCUGUAGCUGGUCUGAGAGGACGACCAGCCACACUGGAACUGAGACACGGUCCAGACUCCUACGGGAGGCAGCAGUGGGGAAUUUUGGACAAUGGACGCAAGUCUGAUCCAGCCAUUCCGCGUGCAGGAUGAAGGCCCUCGGGUUGUAAACUGCUUUUGUACGGAACGAAAAGGUCUCCAUUAAUACUGGGGGCUCAUGACGGUACCGUAAGAAUAAGCACCGGCUAACUACGUGCCAGCCGCCGCGGUAAAAC
rnacentral:rRNA from 1 species